rnacentral:siRNA from 1 species
UGCCACAGAGCCGAAGCACUGGAA